GUACACGCUGUGACUAGCAUAUCAAUAAGCGGAGGAAAAGAAACUAACAAGGAUUCCCUUAGUAACGGCGAGUGAAGCGGGAAGAGCUCAAAUUUGAAAUCUUCAAGGGUUUACCUUUACGAAUUGUAGUUUAAAGAAGUGUUUUCUGCUGAGGUUUUGGUAAAAGUUCUUUGGAAUAGGACAUCAUAGAGGGUGAGAAUCCCGUAUUUGACCAUUACUUUCAACUUUGUGAUACACUUUCAAAGAGUCGGAUUGUUUGGGAAUGCAGUCCAAAAUGGGUGGUAAAUUUCAUCUAAAGCUAAAUAUUGGCGAGAGACCGAUAGCGAACAAGUACCGUGAGGGAAAGAUGAAAAGAACUUUGAAAAGAGAGUUAAACAGUACGUGAAAUUGUCAAAAGGGAAGCGUUUGACACCAGUGUUGUUUUUCUGAAAAUCAAUUAAAGAACUGUUUAUGCUAAGCUGUUUAGACUUUAUCAGCUAACUGUUUAGUUUUGAGCUUUUCUUUAAUGCUACUUUUCAGGUUAACAAGUCAACAUCAAUUUCUUUUGCUGUAAAAAAGCUUGAGGAAGGUGGCUUGAGAUUCGUCUUAAGUGUUUAUAGCCUCUUGCCUAUGCAGUCGGAGAGAUUGAGGUCUGCAGCGUAGAUCCUUCGGGGCUAGAUACAUUUGUGCUAAGUUAUAGCAUUUUAUAGACAACUUGUUGACUAUGAUUUGUCUUGUAGCUUACUCGCUUAUGUUAUUUUACCUACGCUUAGGAUGUUGAGCGCAUGUCUCUCUCU
rnacentral:rRNA from 1 species